GUUCCAGUGGUGUAAUGGAUAGCAUAGCGGCCCCCUAAGCCGCGGAUUAGGGUUCGAUUCCCUAUUGGAACA
rnacentral:tRNA from 1 species